AUAAUACUAGAAUCCUAAAAUUGUAUUAGCCCCUUCUCUCUCCUCUUCUUCCCAGCCCGAUACCACCACUCUUUCUUUUCUUCUCUCGCAUCUCAGUCGGCCAGACCAAAUGAGCCAUCUCCAGCAACCACCCAAUGACACGCACCCCACCACAAGCUUCCUUGGCCCCCAAAACCCCCAACCCGUGAAGCUUGCCUCCCCACUCGUCGGCAUCCGUCGCAACUGGCCCCCCGAAGUUCUGUCACCGAUGUGAGUUUGGAGGAUUUUUCUAGCCUCCACCGUCUUCGAAACAAGAAUUCAAGGGAAUGGUUGGGUUUGUGAGCUCAAGAUAAGCAAAACCCCUAUGGAAAUUGGACUGAAAUGUCGCUGGAGGUGCUCACCAAUGUCAAGAACGACUUUCUUCUUCUUCUUGGAUAUCUGAAUGACUUCACCUGUGCUGGCCUCUUCGCUCCUAAUAGCUUCUUCUUCAAAACCAGGGCACUUCUGAGAGAAUUGCCUCCUUUUAUGAGCUUUGAUGUGUAUAUUAUUUGGUGUAAAGUAUAUAUAGAAGCAUUGGCUUAUGCUUAGAGGGCAUAUCUAUUUGUUAUAUUCAUUGAUUUCAGAUUUAUUCCAUGGAUAUACAUACACGGUAUGCUCUCUCGUCAACCCUUAUUGGUGGUGUAAUGGGUGCACAUGCUCAAUUAUGGGAGAUAUAUUUGCUAUAUUUAAUCUUCUAUGCUCUUCUCCUUUUGUAGCAUUCCCUUUCAUAAUGUGUUUGAGUAGUUAUCUUGAUGCUCAUAAUAUUCUUUUUCUGUGUUUUGUCUGUUGCACAUAAAUUGUUUGUUAAAAUGCCUUAGUGAAAUGGACUGUAGUGUGCAAUCUUAUAUUUUCAUAUACUGAUGACUUGUAUAGCUAUAACCAGGUUAAUAGAAACAAAAUGAUACUAGUUUUACACGUACAAUUGAUUUUUUCAUUAUCAUUGUACUAAUUUUUUUUAUCUUGUAGUCAUUCUUUCAUGUAUGUGAUAUGGGAUUUGAUCUAGUUAGCACUGCACAUUUAAUAUUAAUGAAGCAUUUAUAUUGAAAAGGGAAUUUAAAUACAUGUGCUCCUAUUUUGUUUUCUUCUCAAUAUUGAAGUGUUAUUUUAGAACUUUACAUUUUUAGGCAGAGACAUCAAAACUUAGUUCUAUAUUUUUAUUUGGAAGGAAUUGAAAUUUGGUAACUGCAGAUAAAAUUGGCUUGUGGAAGAGGAAAGAAUCAUAUUAAAAAUAUCUCUACUUUAGUCAUGUAUCUUUUCAAGAUUAAGCAAACCAGAUAACAACUUUGCUCAAGUAGUUGUUUGAAUCAAAGCUGAGCUACCACUUAUUUACUUUGUUGAAUUAUGACUUGUCAAGUUUAUAUUAAUUACUAUUAUGGAGGAAAAGAAAAUAUACAUUUCAGUUGCAUUUUUGUGUUGUAUAUUUGUUGAAACUAGGCAUUGAUUGCCAUUUGUUAGCAAAUGCAUACGACAAAUUCAUGCCCAUCAAGAACAUUCUAACUUAUGAUUGCUUUGGUUCUUAAAUUUUGUUCAAUUUUCAUUUGCCUUCCAUAUUAAAGGUAUAUAGUGGUCUGUCUGGUUAUUGUGGCAUUCCUCAGCUAUCAAGGAAGCUGAAUCAGAUUUUGGAACAACAUAUUAGAAUGGCUCUCCCAAGUUUGAAGUAUGAGCUGAACUCAGAAAUGAAUGCUAUUGUUAAAGAACUUCAGACAUACGGAAAUGUUGUAGAGGCUAAUAUUUUUAUGCUAUGGUGGAUGGAAGUAGUCAGGAAAUAUCAACUAAAGAAUUGUCAGGUGGAGCCAGGAUCCAUUAUAUAUUUCAGUCAAUUUUUGUAAAGAGCUUGGAGGAAGUCGAUCCUUGUGAGGGUCUAAAUGAUGAUGAUAUUCAUAUAGCUAUUCAAAAUGCUGCUGGUGCUAGAAAUGCAUUAAUCGUUCCAGAGGUCCCAUUUAGAGUUUUGUGAACAGAGAUACUUGGAGGCUACAAAGCCAUAACAGUUCCAUCAGAGGACGAUAAAAAAAGCCAAAGAUCUCUUUAUGCACAAUUAGAAGCAGUUGCUGACAUGAAAUUCACAUAUAUUGCUACCUGUCAAAACUAUGGCAACCAGAAGCGAAGUGGAGAUCGUCGUUCAACAGACAUCCUGAACUUGAUGGUCAAUAAUCCUUCUCUUAGGGUGGCAUAUAUUGAUGAAGUUGAAGAGAAUGAAGGAGGAAAAGUACAUAAAGUUUAUUAUUCAGUUUUGGUGAAAGUUGUUGAUAAUCUUGAUCAGGUAAAUAUUGAGAACAAUAAUUGUGCUUCUAUGCCUUAUGAUAUACAACUGAUUGUUUUGGUACCGGUUUAAAGGAAAUAUAUCGGAUAAAAUUACCGGGUUCUGCCAAGAUAGGAGAAGGAAAGCCAGAAAACCAAAACCAUGUUAUAAUUUUCACGAGAGGAGAAGCUCUCCAGACGAUUGACAUGAAUCAGGACAAUUACUUGGAAGAAGCUUUAAAAAUGCGUAACCUUUUGGAAGAAUUCAAUGAGCAGCCAGGCUUCUUGAGCGGAUGAGUCAUAGCUAGAGUAACUUUUGAAAUCAUAAUUAAAAAAUAUAUUAAUUGUAGUUUUUAGUUAUCCUUACAUAGUUAUUACAAGUGUAUAUUUUGUUCUUGUAAUUUUUAAAUCUGGAACAUACUGAGUUCUAUUGAUUAUUUUGUUUGCCUA